AAACUUUCAACAACGGAUCUCUUGGUUCUCGCAUCGAUGAAGAGCGCAGCGAAAUGCGAUACCUAGUGUGAAUUGCAGCCAUCGUGAAUCAUCGAGUUCUUGAACGCACAUUGCGCCCCUCGGCAUUCCGGGGGGCAUGCCUGUUUGAGCGUC